UCCAUGANGCAGCAGGCGCGUAAAUUACCCAAUGUGGACUCCACGAGGUAGUGACGAGAAAUAUCAAUGCGGGGCGCUUCGCGUCUUGCUAUUGGAAUGAGAGCAAUGUAAAACCCUCAUCGAGGAUCAACUGGAGGGCAAGUCUGGUGCCAGCAGCCGCGGUAAUUCCAGCUCCAGAAGCGUAUGCUAAAGUUGUUGCAGUUAAAAAGCUCGUAGUUGAAUUUCUGGUGUGGGAGCCCAGGCCUCGGUGCGAAUGCGCCUUGUCUUGCCUUGCGGCUCCUUUGCCAUCCUCGUUUUUCUUUUGAAGAACGUCAUUCACUGUAAUCAAAGCAGAGUGUUCCAAGCAGGCCGUAGGGCCGGUAUGUUUAUUAUGGGAUGAUCAGAUAGGACUCGGGUGCUAUUUUGUUGGUUUGCACAUCUGAGUAAUGAUUAAUAGGAACAGUCGGGGGUAUCCGUAUUUAGGAGCUAGAGGUGAAAUUCUUGGAUUUCCGAAAGACGAACUACAGCGAAGGCAUUUACCAAGCAUGUUUUCAUUAAUCAAGAACGAAAGUCUGGGGAUCGAAGAUGAUUAACUCNNCNCUNA
rnacentral:rRNA from 1 species